rnacentral:rRNA from 1 species
UACAGAGGGUGCGAGCGUUAAUCGGAAUUACUGGGCGUAAAGCGUGCGUAGACGGUUAUUUAAGUCGGGUGUGAAAGCCCCGGGCUCAACCUGGGAAUUGCAUUCGAGACUGAAUAGCUAGGGUACGGUAGAGGGAAGCGGAAUUUCCGGUGUAGCGGUGAAAUGCGUAGAUAUCGGAAGGAACAUCAGUGGCGAAAGCGGCUUCCUGGCCUGUUCUUGACGCUGAGGCGCGAAAGCUAGGGGAGCAAACGGG